rnacentral:misc_RNA from 1 species
CCGAGUUUACAACUCCCAAACCCCUGUGAACAUACCUAUACUGUUGCCUCGGCGGAUUCAGCCCGCUCCCGGUAAAAACGGGGACGGUCCCGCCAGAGGACCCCUAAACUCUGUUUCUAUAGUGGAAACUUCUGAGUAAAAAACCAUAAAUAAAUC